UGCCUGCUUCGCUGUGUCCUG
rnacentral:miRNA from 1 species